GGGUAAGUCCUACACGGUAUGCUCCUUCGGAAUCCCCCCAGGGCUUGACGGCAGCAAGGGUACGAGGUUGUAGCGACGCGAUGUAGAUAGCUUACCCACU
rnacentral:SRP_RNA from 1 species